ACGACUCUCGGCAACGGAUAUCUUGGCUCACGCAUCGAUGAAGAACGUAGCAAAAUGCGAUACUUGGUGUGAAUUGCAGAAUCCCGUGAACCAUCGAGUUUUUGAACGCAAGUUGCGCCCAAAGCCAUUCGGCCGAGGGCACGUCUGCCUGGGCGUCACGC
rnacentral:rRNA from 1 species